AUCCAAAAUAGAGGUGCGCAGCGGAUGAGUCAUCCUGUUUGCUUUACAUCGCCGGGACGAUGAGGACAGGAUAAAAGGUCAAUGCGCCGAAGUCGUUGCUGACCGGCAAUCUACGGCUGGGGUGUACGUGAAUAACGUACGUCUUGUCAUGAAAGGUGCGCCUUUCGUGGAGCGCUAUUUAUGAG
rnacentral:ncRNA from 2 species